GGGGAUGUAGCUCAGUGGUGGAGUGCCUGCCUGGCAAGCACAAGGCCCUGGGUUUGAUUCCCAGCACCA
rnacentral:tRNA from 1 species